ACGAACGCUGGCGGCGUGCUUAACACAUGCAAGUCGAACGGAAAGGCCCCUUUGGGGGUACUCGAGUGGCGAACGGGUGAGUAACACGUGAGUAACCUGCCCUUGACUUCGGGAUAACUUCAGGAAACUGGGGCUAAUACCGGAUAGGAAUCCUUGCUGCAUGGUGGGGGUUGGAAAGCUUCGGCGGUUUUGGAUGGACUCGCGGCUUAUCAGCUUGUUGGUGGGGUAGUGGCUUACCAAGGCUUUGACGGGUAGCCGGCCUGAGAGGGCGACCGGCCACAUUGGGACUGAGAUACGGCCCAGACUCCUACGGGAGGCAGCAGGGGGGAAUAUUGCACAAUGGGCGGAAGCCUGAUGCAGCAACGCCGCGGGCGGGAUGACGGCCUUCGGGUUGUAAACCGCUUUCAGCAGGGGCGAAGCUUGUGGUGACGGUACCUGCAGAAGAAGCACCGGCUAACUACGUG
rnacentral:rRNA from 1 species